rnacentral:rRNA from 1 species
GACGAACGCUGGCGGCGUGCUUAACACAUGCAAGUCGAGCGGUAAGGCCCUUUCGGGGGUACCCGAGCGGCGAACGGGUGAGUAACACGUGGGUGACCUGCCCUCAGCUCUGGGAUAAGCCUGGGAAACUGGGUCUAAUACCGGAUAUGACCCCAUGACGCAUGUCGUGGGGUGGAAAGCCUUGUGCGGCUGAGGAUGGGCCCGCGGCCUAUCAGCUUGUUGGUGGGGUGAUGGCCACCAAGGCGACGACGGGUAGCCGGCCUGAGAGGGCGACCGGCCACACUGGGACUGAGACACGGCCCAGACUCCUACGGGAGGCAGCAGUGGGGAAUCUUGCGCAAUGGGCGAAAGCCUGACGCAGCGACGCCGCGUGAGGGAUGACGGCCUGUGU